UUGUAAAAAAGGUUAAAUAGUAAUCACAACAUACCUAGUUAUUUGUCGUGCAAAAGAUUUAAACCAUGCGAAUUACAGGACAGACACACGCACAUAUUACGAGCGCUCGGUACAGGAAGCGUAUUAUUGCAGUUUUUCAAAUGGUUGAAAUAUUUCAGCUGUUAAGCUUUCGACCAUAUAGCAAAACAAAUGUUUAGGUAUUUAAUUCUGUUACGGUUUGAGGAAUGAUAUUUUGGCAGCAUGCUAUUAUUUAAAAUAAUUAUGAGGAUACAAAUGUAUUUUGGGAGCAGGCUUCUACAAUUUUACCAACGUCGUCUUCAUACCCGAAUCCAGUUUGAGAAUGCACGUGUAAACGCUGCUACAGCAUUUCGGAAUUGAGCUGUCAUUUCGAUCACUUCAAUUUGCCGCUCUUUUCAACAGAAAAUCGUGUGCGAACGUGCAGCUGAAAUGGGCGCUGCUCGCAGAAAUGUUGGUGAAUUCGGAGAUAUUUUGUAAAAAGUUGCAAUUAUUAUGUGUAUAAUACACAGGACAGCAAAUUUUCACCUUUUCACACCCCCUCAGGCCUAUAUUUCGUUUGACAAUUUACUGCUUGGGACGAUUCAACGAAGCGAAUAUACGAUAAACUACGAUAAAAAGGACGUAUUGCACAACAAAAUGUAGAUCACCUUUGUAAUUCUCCCUAAGGUAGGUUAGUUGUCUCUCUGCUACAUGUGGCGAUAUAUGAAAUUUCAUGUUACUGUUUUAUUUGCAGCGUACAGUGGCUCCAAUUUUGGCGGGUAACGGAUUGGUAGAUGACGAUCGCUUAAGGGAGAAUUCGUACACCAAGCGGCGGUUGUAGCAACUGAUAAAUAAGUAAGAUAUCAAUAUGCACAACUGUUCAAAACCCAAAUAUUAUUCGUAAUUCAUUGUGAAAAUUCUCUAUUCUUUCUAGCAGCUAGAUAUAUUGACUUUUGUACAAAAACAUGCAUUUGGCGUAGAGUGUGUCUGGAGAUUCGCUUAUGUGAUAAUUGCCGUUCCAUUUACAUAAGAAUGUGAAAUGGUUGCUUUGCCUAUAUUGCUAUGUUCUCAAAGCUCCAGAAUGAGGCAAAGUAUAUACUCAUUAAUAGCACACAAAUGAUUCUUAAAACUCGAAACUCUGCGGGUUGUGUUGGACUAAGAAUCUAUACACCAUUUACUGGUGAUCCAUCGCUGGACCAAAGGAAUUCAAUAGUGUAUAAAUUUCACCGUAUCUUUCCAUAAGUUUCACCGUAUAUCAGCACAAAGUUUUCGAGUAUGUUAACUGAUUUACUUAUCAAAUGCUCUGCUACCAGUUUUAAAAGUUUUAAAACCUCUCACGGUGAAGCACUGUCGUUUAUCAAUCUAUGAACACGGUUUUUUUUGCGGACGCAUCAGCAGAAUUACUCCAUUUCUAUUUAAAUCUAUUACAUUUAGGCAUUCAUUUAAUCCAAUUGUUUAAUUCAAAAGUCUAUCCGUUUACAUGAUCAAGAGGUUAUCCUAUAGUUUGUACAGUUUGUCAUUAUUGUAUAUUUAGCUCGCAAUUCGCUUUACACUCGUCUAUUCACUAAGCAACAUACAGAACAAGAGAGAUAGAAGAUCGAGGCACGCCGUCAAAAACGCGCCUAAAGCAGGCGUCAAAAAACUAUUGACGUCCGGGAUAAAAAAACACAGGGUGGUCAAUGGUUACACAAUGUGUCUCAUGUAUAACAAUUCCACCCUUCUUAAAGAGGAACUUUAAGAGGUUGCAUGUCACUAUAGUACUGUCUCCGUUGACGUUGUCCUUCAGCUCGUGUGACCUCAGCUUCGCUUGUUGUUGAUUGAUGGCUGCCCAGUAAAGAUCUCAUCUGGUCCACAUAUCGUUUCUGAUGUUUUCCCUGGAAUGCCACAUCGUAAUGGAUGUUUCCUAAACGGGAGUGCACCGUAGCCGGGAUCCACUUAUCCAUCCUCGGGUUCCCAGAUAAGCAAUAGGUUUGCUGUCCGGGGCGGAAAGUGCGAUAGUUUUAUGUUCUUUUUCUUUCGUCAUGUUUAGAAGACUAUUACCGAUAAACACGGUAAGGAAGUUAAUUCUUUUGGCACACUUUAUUGCCAGUUGUUCUAUAUGUGACCUCCGCACAUUUUUGCUGUCAAACCAAACGGUAUCUAAAAGGUUAGGCAAUUGAAAUUUUCUUUCCAUUAUCUUUCCAGUGUAUUUAUAGACUCUGAGUCAAACGCCCCCUUGAUAUCCAGAAAUACAGAGG